UUCUUUAAAAAAAUCUCCAAAUAAAACUUCAAAUGUAUAUAUAUUUGAAAAUUGUUUAAAGAAAUGGCCUGGUUAUAAUAUUAACAUACCCAUAUACACUAACAUAUGUUAGUGUAUCUUAUAAUAUUAACAUACCCACGUGUUAUGUGUAAGCAUUAAAAAAGGAGAGGUAUGGUUAUUAAGCGAAAAUAAAAGAAAAUGUUAAUGAGCCAAUGUCUUAUGGAGAUACAUUCAUUCUGAAAAGCAAUCAAGAAAAUGGCAUUUUAAAAUGUAAGUCAUGUUUCAAUAACAUUGACAAAGAAGAAAGAAAGGAAGGGCAAGAGAAGGAAUAGAGGGAUGGUCAGGAAAGAAGGAAGAAGGGAAAAAAAGACCUCCAGCAUCUCAAAAAUGUGGAAAGCAGCAAUCUUCACAUAGGGGAAAUAUCUAAAAACCUCUUAAAAUUUCAAGUCCUUCAACAAAACAAGUUUGCUUUGAUGAGGAAAGGAGAAUGGUUUGAAAAUGUUAACGAGGAGUAAGAAUGACACUGACACCAGCUCCAGGUCCCGUGGAAUGAAAUCUAUGGGAGCUAAACAACAUUUACCAGCCUACCACAGAGUUAUGGGGGAGGAGGUUAUAUGACGAAGCUUUAGACAACAAAAAGCGAUCAGAAGGUAUGUGCUUUACUUCCAGUCUGUCCAUAAAAUCUUCCAUAUGGUUUCCUCUAAACUCUUUUUAAUUUCUUUUGCUUGAUACUAAUGAUCACUGAACUCUUGGAAGUCCUUUGUGAUAGAUGGCAGAAUUCCAAAUGAAGGAAGCCUGGAUACAAA